CUAUGAUCUGAAAGACUGAUCAUGGCAAAGGAG
rnacentral:ncRNA from 1 species